CCCGCCUAGCUCAGUUGGUAGAGCGCAAGACUUUUAAUCUUGUGGUCGUGGGUUCGAGUCCCACGGCGGGCA
rnacentral:tRNA from 1 species